rnacentral:snRNA from 1 species
AGCUUUGCGCAGUGGCAGUAUCAUAGCCAAUGAAGUUUAUCUGAGGCACAAUUAUUGCUAAUUGAAAACUUUUCCCAAUAAAUC